rnacentral:rRNA from 1 species
ACGCACGCUGGCGGCGUGCUUAACCCCUGCCAGUCGAACGGAAAGGCCCUGCUUUUGUGGGGUGCUCGAGUGGCGAACGGGUGAGUAACACGUGAGUAACCUGCCCUUGACUUUGGGAUAACUUCAGGAAACUGGGGCUAAUACCGGAUAGGAGCUCCUGCUGCAUGGUGGGGGUUGGAAAGUUUCGGCGAUUGGGGAUGGACUCGCGGCUUAUCAGCUUGUUGGUGGGGUAGUGGCUUACCAAGGCUUUGACGGGUAGCCGGCCUGAGAGGGUGACCGGCCACAUUGGGACUGAGAUACGGCCCAGACUCCUACGGGAGGCAGCAGUGGGGAAUAUUGCACAAUGGGCGGAAGCCUGAUGCAGCAACGCCGCGUGCGGGAUGACGGCCUUCGGGUUGUAAACCGCUUUCGCCUGUGACGAAGCGUGAGUGACGGUAAUGGGUAAAGAAGCACCGGCUAACUACGUG